GACGUAGGGCGCGAGCGUUGUCCGGAUUUAUUGGGCGUAAAGAGCUCGUAGGCGGUUUGUUGCGUCGUUCGUGAAAACUCACAGCUUAACUGUGAGCUUGCGGUCGAUACGGGCAGGCUAGAGUUCGGUAGGGGAGACUGGAAUUCCUGGUGUAGCGGUGAAAUGCGCAGAUAUCAGGAGGAACACCGGUGGCGAAGGCGGGUCUCUGGGCCGAUACUGACGCUGAGGAGCGAAAGCGUGGGGAGCGAACAGG
rnacentral:rRNA from 1 species